rfam:Lachnoclostridium sp. An14 An14_contig_24, whole genome shotgun sequence.
UUACACCAGUAUUGACUGCCGAAGACAGUAGGCGCCGCAAGGCAUAAGGUAAAACCGCCUACCGAGGAACAUACAAAGCUCAUAACAGAGAAUUUGUAGAGCCCUUCUGUCUUGACAGGAGGGCUUAUUUUUCGCAGGU